AUGAGUUGGAUUCUAAAGAACUCCAAUAUGAUCAACACAAUUAUGCAGUAUAGACUCCCAACAUUAAUGGUCCUCCAACUGGAAAAUGGACAACAUGUUUAUUUGGACGACUGUGUACAUAUUUGCCAAGGAUUGCGAGAAGAAUUUCAAAAGUUUGGUGAAGUGAUUCAUGGGGUAGUAAUUGAUCGAGUCUUGAAGGCAUUGAAGGAAUGGAUGGCAAGUGGGAGAGAAUUUGUUACUAGAUUGGUUGGAAGUGCAGUGCCCAACAGUAAAAUCUCAAGGAGGAAGAUAAUGUGUCUUACCGAUGCCAAUAUUGUACACAGAAUACAUUAUGAUAUUAUCGGUCUAAAGAUAUGA
rnacentral:lncRNA from 1 species